UACGGAGGAUCCAAGCGUUAUCCGGAUUUAUUGGGUUUAAAGGGUGCGUAGGCGGAUUGAUAAGUUGGAGGUGAAAUGUCCGAGCUCAACUCGGGAACUGCCUCUAAUACUGUUGAUCUAGAGAGUAGAUGCGGUAGGCGGAAUGUAUGGUGUAGCGGUGAAAUGCUUAGAGAUCAUACAGAACACCGAUUGCGAAGGCAGCUUACCAAUCUAUAUCUGACGUUGAGGCACGAAAGCGUGGGGAGCAAACAGG
rnacentral:rRNA from 1 species